GGCUCCAGAGUAUGCAAUGCAUGGCCAAUUUUCGGUUAAAUCAGACGUAUUUAGUUACGGCGUGUUGUUACUAGAGAUUGUAAGUGGGCAAAAGAAUAAUUCUUUCAGCAAUGGAGAGAAUGUCGAGGAUCUUUUGAGCUACGCAUGGAAAAAUUGGAGAGAAGGGACAUGUAUGAAUAUUAUAGAUCCAGCUUUUAGGGCAGCAGGUUCAACAAGUGAAAUGAUGAGGUGCAUACACAUUGGGCUGCUAUGCGUUCAAGAAAAUGUGGGUGAUAGGCCAACAAUGGCUUCAGUAGUUCUCAUGCUAAACAGCUAUUCCCUCACUCUACCAAUACCCUCACAUCCAGCAUUUUUUAUGCACACUACUGAAUCAGAUAUCUCGUCUUCAUUGGGGUAUAAUUCAGAGUUGUCAAGGUCCAGGAUUGAAGCUCUCCCCUUGUCAGUCAAUGAGGCCUCAAUUAUCGAAUUAUAUCCUCGAUAAAAUGAUUAAAGAUUUUACUUCAAUUGGAUGUGUAUUACACAAAUUUUUUUUUUUUUCAUUUAGCUCUGCAUAGAAUUUGAAAUUUUACAGUUUUAAGAAUGAUUCCAAUAAUUUAUUACUUAGUUUUCUUAAUAUGGAUUUUGGUUGGUUUAUACAAUUCUUUCAUCAUUUUCUGUUAAGAUUUGC
rnacentral:misc_RNA from 1 species